CAAAAAUUAUCACAUCGUUUUUACUAACUUCUUGUACCGGAUUACAAAUUUAAGUUGAUUAUGUAAAAUGUCGUAAAGAAGAAUAUGACAUCUAUUCCAAAAUUGUCACGAUCGAAUGAAGUAUUUCAGCGACUCAGCCACGCGAUAAUCCGUUUUUAACAGAUAAUUUUUUAGAAUUCUCUCACACUUCCACGAAGCUUUCGUAUCGAAUUUCGAGUUCGAGCCUAAAUCUAUAUACCGCACUCUAGUAACAAGAGGGGUGGAAACGAAGGUAGAAGCGUCGGUGGGGAGGGUGGUUGAGCGAGGUCGAGGGGAGGCCGUAACCCAUAAAGAGUCGCUACUAGUCGCUGCCGCGGCAGUAAGCAUCGCGUCGUCCAUCGAGGAUGCGGUAUGCGGUGUCUCUCUGCGUCAAGAUUGACACGUGGUUGCUCGAAAUACGAACACGUAAAUUCCAUGUUCUUGCUUUUAGUAUUUAUUUCUUCGUUCUUACGCGAAUGUCUAAUAUAAUAAUGACAACGAUUGCAAAUUGAAAGAUAGAAAGAAACUCGAAGUAUAUGAGUGUUGUGUCAUUUUUUUAUUGGAAUAUCAUCACGUUCGUUUUCGUGACUGUGUGAUGUGAAUUAUUUCGUAUACAGAACUGAUUACUAUACGUACGGAGAUGAUCGCAAAGGUUCAUCAUGACGUUUUAAAAAGGAUUAAGGAGGUUCACAAUGCCAUCCAUUUUCCAUGUAGCCAGGGAUUGAUAUAUCAUUGUCAGGUGGUAAACUAUACUUUGGAUUAAUCGUGGAAGAUAUAAUAAAUGUUGCUCUGGAACGUCUCUGUUAGAAAGAGUCCAUAAAUAAAACUGUGCCAGUUACCAUCCUCGAAUCAUCUUAAGAAAAUCCAAUGUUCUAUAUUGUCACACUGAAUACAGACUAAUUGAAAUAAAGCUACACGAUGCAAGAGGACAUCAUCGCUAUAUCAUCUCUGAAGAAACGAGCCACUGAAAUUCUCAUGUAAUAAUUCUCUCUCUGGGAACAUUCAUUGUGGAAUAUCUUAAAAAAUACAAUUCAUAUCAACAAAGAAAAAUUUAUUUUUUAUGGAAAGAGAAAAAGUAGCAAAUAAUACGAAAACGUAAAGAAUGGCAAAAAAUAUCGUGUGACUUGAAUAUAAUGAUAAAUAUCGAGGGAACAUAAUUUGAGAAAGUUUGGAAAGUACAUUAGAAUAGGACGUCCAGGAUGUCCUGUGAGAAGGCAUCACGGCG